GACGAACGCUGGCGGCGUGCUUAACACAUGCAAGUCGAACGGUAAGGCCCUUCGGGGUACACGAGUGGCGAACGGGUGAGUAACACGUGGGUGAUCUGCCCUGCACUUCGGAAUAAGCCUGGGAAACUGGGUCUAAUACCGGAUAGGACCACUGCCUGCAUGGGUGGUGGUGGAAAGCUGUUGCGGUGUGGGAUGGGCCCGCGGCCUAUCAGCUUGUUGGUGGGGUGAUGGCCUACCAAGGCGACGACGGGUAGCCGGCCUGAGAGGGUGACCGGCCACACUGGGACUGAGGUACGGCCCAGACUCCUACGGGAGGCAGCAGUGGGGAAUAUUGCACAAUGGGCGCAAGCCUGAUGCAGCGACGCCGCGUGAGGGAUGACGGCCUUCGGGUUGUAAACCUCUUUCAGCACCGACGAAGCGCAAGUGACGGUAGGUGCAGAAGAAGGACCGGCCAACUACGUGCCAGCCGCCGCCGUAA
rnacentral:rRNA from 1 species